GCCGGCCAGACGACCUGGGUAAAGCAGUUUCAACAGCUUGCUGGAUGGUCCCGCCUUUCGCCUGCCAUACCCGAAGGAUCUUCAAUGCACCCUUCAGAUGCCUUAGAGGUAACAUCAAAUUUUCAAGAAUUUUGAACUGACCCAUAUUUAUCUCAGGAACGGCAAAAAGUUUCAAAACAGGGACAAGUCAGAAACAGUUCUCCCUUGAGAUGAUAAGAGCACAAUCAAGGCAAACCUCUGGGGCACAAGGCAAUCUGUUUGAAGAAGGCGUCGGAUAAACCUGCCACAGAUAAAACGAGAAUUUCUCGCUUCAACAGAAGGCUCAAGAAUGAAUAAAAGCUGGCGCUGAUAUAUACUCGGAGCCUGAAGACUUAGCACGGGACAGAGCUACACUAGACUCUAAGCUAAUGGCGUCAGAUUUUUAAAAG
rnacentral:lncRNA from 1 species